rnacentral:misc_RNA from 1 species
CCUCCAAUAGCAGCUCCUGCCAAGGCUUUAAUCUGCGAAACCCCUCCAGCAGUAGCACUCAAAGCUACAUCACAAUAUCCAGCACCCAUAUUGAAGAUGAGGGCGUUCUUCUCACUUCCACUUCCCAUAUUCUCAUGCACAGUCUGUUGCUGCUGCUGUGCAUAUAACAAUGCCACAGCUGUUGGCUCAGGCAUCAGCCUGAGGACAUGAAGACCAGCCAUGGCGCAAGCUCGUUCAAUCCGGGUCAGUUGGAACCUACUAAAUGACACUGGAAUGGUAAGAACAACAUUUCUUAUAGGCCGCUUCAGCUGAACUUCAGCCAUGGCUCGUAAUUCCACCAGAAAUAUUGCAAGAACUUCUUCAGGAGUGAUGGAUCUCCAAGCAUUGUUUACCAAGGCUGCAAUAAAUGGGCGGACACCAAUAUCCAAAGUCUGUACCAAAAAUGG